ACAUACUCCCUAUUAGAUGUGGGGUGUGGUGGCAGCAGCCCCGAAUAUUGAGAGGAGUAGGACUCUGGGACCCCUGCUGAACAUUUGUCCAGGCAGCUCCUCUCCCUGACCAAGUGGGGGCGCUCGUGUGGCUGGCAGGGAGCCCAGGUCCAGGCCUGAGGGUUCAGGACGAGAGGCGUGAUUGGGCGGUCUCUGCUCUUCAGGAUCCACCACGGAAAUUUGACACCUCCGGGCUUGGAAGCUGCUCUCUCCUCUUUCCCCCGCUGCUUAUAAACCUCAGCCCUGAGGCUCCAGCUCGCUGCACCCCAUCUCUUUGCCCGACCCUGUGCUUCUCUGCUGGGAAGAGCAGCGCUGAGUGUGUGUGGGUGGAUGCGGGCUCAGGAGACCAGGGCCCAA